AUUUACUGUGGCCUGAAAACUUGUGAAUCUGGAUCUGAGGCUUAAUUAAAUGGAUCUUAAUUAUUAAUACAUUGGCAACUGAAUUUUGAGGAGCCUUCACAAGCUGUUGGGCCCAUGGAAUGGGAGGAAGCUCGUGAUGACUUUGUCUCUCCCUUUCUGGUCCUGGCGACGUUACCAUCUUUCAUCUCUCCGGUGUGCAGGCCCUGCUCUCCAGAAUAGAGCUGAGGUAAAAUUCACAUUAUAUAAAGUCCAUCAUUUGUCGACUCGUCCUGGGGUACCACUGUACCACUGUCUCUCCGCCCCAAACAGAAACCCCAUCCCUGCCAGCAGUUGCUCUGUUUCCUCUCCUCCCAGCCCUGGAAACCAGCAGGCUGCUUCUGAUCUCUGCUCUGAGCACAUGCAUAUGUACACUUGUUCUCAUGGCUCCUGAAUUACACCCAGAAGAGGAAUGGUGGGGCAUGAGGUAAUUCUAUUUCAGUGUUUGGGAACCGCGGGACCUUCCUUGGCUACAGCAGCAUCCCACAUCCCCACCAACGGUGAAGGGGGGUUCCCAGCUUGUCCACCGGCCCCGGGAGGUCACCUGCACCCCAGGCCGGGCUGUGGUCCAGGUGGAGUCAGAAGACGGGAGCCCUGAGCUGAGAGCUGGCCCAGGCGGGUUGGGCGCCCGGAGCUCCUAUGUAGCUCAGAGCCCUGACCCCUUUCCGCUGUGACAUCCUGACAGGGUGGCCGCUGAAACCCACGCUCGCUCCCCUUUCUUUUGCCCUUGUUUCUGUUCUCAGCAUUCUUGCAGCCGUCCUAACUCUUCCUCUACAUGUGGUGACUUUGGCCAGAAUUCGCUUGUGUAACACGGGGUCAGCAGAUUGGUUCCCAGGUUGAUUGGUAAUUAAAAUUAAAAGACAAGAAUUGGGCAUCCAUUGGGUGUGUGGACAUAGUUACACUUUGGGGAAGGAGUGUGAAGUCACUUCGCAGGGAAGGUGGGCACAGUUUUGGCCCAGGCCCCCUGGAGCCCCCUGCCUGAGCAGUGUCUCUGUGCCUCAGGGGAGGCCUGCCCAGCAGAGGCUGUGGCUGGAUGGCACUUCAAGGACCAGGAAUGCCAGGUGAGAUCCGGGGGGCCUCCUGCAGCCGGUAGAUGGGGGCAGCAUGAGGUUCCAGA
rnacentral:lncRNA from 1 species